rnacentral:lncRNA from 1 species
CUUUUUUUGAUUAUUUUAUUAUGUCACUUUUGCCAAAAAGUACCUGCCUUCUCUCCCAAAGCAGAUUAUCAUUUCCUAGAAGGGAGGGACAUUUCUUGUAUCCAUAAGUUUCCUCCUGACCUGGCAGAUUGUACAUGUUAUACAUGUUGGUUGGUGAUAUGACUGAUAGGAAGCUGAAUGAGAACUAGCACAUUUUUAACAAAGCAAAGCAGCAGGUAUCAGAACUCAGAAUCAAAUAAAAGCUGUCCCCCAAUUCAUGAAUGGAUAUGCUUGUGGUUUGUAUUUGUGUUUUAAUUACUAAGCAAUCUGGUUCAUCCCUUUGUGCAAAGCAUUGCCUUAGGUUACAGUGUAGGAAACUGUAUUAGCUCAUCCUCACACUGUUACAAAGAAAUACCUAAGACUGGAUAAUUCAUAAGGAAAAGAGGCUUAAUUGGCUCACAGUUCCACAGGCUGUACAGGAAGCAUAGUGGCAUCUGCUUCUGGGGAAGCCUCAGAGAGCUUUUAUUCAUGGCAGAAGGCAAAGCAAGGGCAAGCAUCUUACAUGGCAGGAACUUGACCAAGAGAGUGGGGAGGUGCCACACACAUUUAAACAACCAGAUCUCAUGAGAGCUCUAUCACAAGAACAGCACCAAAGGGAUGGUGCUAACCCAUUCAUGAAGGAUCCAUCCCCAUGAUCCAAUCACCUCCACCAGGCCCCACCUCUGACAUGGGGGAUUACCUUGACGUGUGAUUUGGGCAGGGACACACAUCCAAACCAUAUCAGAAACAGAGGAUGGGUAAGAUAUUGUUUCUGCCCUUAUGAAGUUUGUGAUCCCUAAAUGCCCAUCACUAAGGUGCUAGCUGGAGCACUGAUGAUCCAUACAUUCAAUGGAGCUGUAGCAGUCAUGAAAAGGAUCAAGCAGAUCUAUAUGUUCUGUUG